rnacentral:rRNA from 1 species
UACGGGGGGAGCAAGCGUUGUUCGGAUUUACUGGGCGUAAGGGCGCGAGUAGGCGGCGGCAACAAGUCACUUGUGAAAUCUCCGGGCUUAACCGGGGAACUGCGUCCGAUACUGGUUGGCUUGAGUUUGGGAGAGGGAUGCGGAAUUCCAGGUGUAGCGGUGUGAAAUGCGUAGAUAUCUGGAGGAACACCGGUGGCGAAGGCGGUUCUCUGGGCAUGACCUGACGCUGAGGAGCG